UCAUACUCACUAAGUUUUAUACGCCAUUGAGUUAAUUUUGAAAUAGGAUCUUUCAACCCAUGUAACCAUACAAGAGGUCUAUGGUCUGUUACUAAAAAAAAACUUCGCCCAUAUAAAUAAGCUUUCUGAAGGAUUCUGGAAGCAUAUGCAAUGGGUAAAUCCUGACCAAUAACUCCCUGACUCAAAACACCACCAAGAGCGUAAUUCGAUUCAUCAAUCGUUAAUACAAAAGGUUUUGAGAAAUCAGGAUACUGUAACAAUGGGUCGGAACAGAUUUUAUCACGCAGAAUUUCAGAAGCUGUUUGCUGCUCAUUUGUCCAUUUAAAUUCGACCUUAUCUUUUAAAAGGUAAUUUAAUAGUGGAGUAACACGUCAAUGGAAAAUUUUCAUCACCCAGAUCAAGACUAUCAUCUACAAAAUUAAGAAUGGCUCGCUGUUUCCGAAGGAAAGUUAUUCCUAUCAGUCCAUCCUCAGUUAUAGGAAAAGCUUUUGAAACUACAUGAAAGGAUGUUUCUACGCCUCGGAGUAGCAUUUUAACUUCACCCUGUGUUGGAAUCAUUUUGGAUCCGAUUCCAAUCAAAUUUAAAACAUGUUCCCGAUUAAUUUUUAUGUGUGAAUCCAAAGCUGUUUCUUUAAUCAAAUUUACACUAGCACCUGUGUCUAUCAAUAAUUUUGUUUUGCCUUUCUGAAAAAAAUAAUGCUGCAAUUCUACCACCGCGGCGGGCUCUAUACCAUUAUUCUCCCCGAGUUUAAGAACGACGCGGGUUGAGAGGGUCCGAUUUCCUGAGACAUCCUGCCCUCUGUAGGAUGACCCUGUUUCGAGUUUAAAUGAUGAUUCUUAAAAUCUUGAUUUCGCAUUCUUUCCUUACCGUGCUUCGCCUUCAUAUGACAUUUACUAAUAUCAUGAUUCAACCUAAAACAAUAAGUGCAAUUUUCCCUCUCUUUGCCCUGGUUUACAUUAUUUUUUUUUCGUUUAGGACACUCACGCCGAAAAUGACCUGUUUCUUUACAGUCGUAACAUUGAAUAUUCCUUUUUUUGUUUACAUUUUCCUCAAUACUAACGUGCGCUACCCUCUUACGAGGAUUUGAACCCAUUUUAAAGUCUGAAUCGAAAUCAGGUUUAAUUUUUCCUAUUUCUUCUGAAUGAGCCCUAUCCCAGCUUUUAAACUGAAUCUCUUCUUGAGAUGCCAUCACUAUUGCUUCAUCCAAAGUAGCAGGAUUUAUACUUUUUAUUAUCGCGAAUAUCUCUCUAUUUAAUCCCCUCAUGAAAGUAGCUGUCGCACUUUCUUUAUGUGCUUCUAUUCUUUCAUUUCCUUUUAGCCCCGGAGUUUUUUCCAAAGUUAUAUUAAUUAAUUCAUCUAAUAUUUGAUUAACCCGUGCCCCAAAGUCGGUUAUGCUUUCGUUUGGUUUUUUGACAGCCAUAGUUAAUUCUUGUGAUAAUUGUGUGAUGUCUAAUUUUGGUAAAUAAAUUCUCUCAAGUUUUUUAAACA